rnacentral:rRNA from 1 species
UACGUAGGGGGGCUAGCGUUGUCCGGAUUUAUUGGGCGUAAAGAGCGUGUAGGCGGCCAGGUAGGUCUGCUGUGAAAACUCGAGGCUCAACCUCGAGAUGUCGGCGGAAACCAUCUGGCUAGAGUCCGGAAGAGGAAAGUGGAAUUCCUGGUGUAGCGGUGAAAUGCGCAGAUAUCAGGAAGAACACCAAUGGCGAAAGCAGCUCUCUGGGACGGUACUGACGCUGAGACGCGAAAGCGUGGGGAGCGAACAGG